rnacentral:misc_RNA from 1 species
AUUAUUAUUAUUAUUAUUUUAAUUGUUUUGAGUUGGUUGUUUGAAUUGGGAAAUGGGUUCUUAGGGGUAUACUUGUCAUGCCUGUUUCAGUUAACUUGUCCUUUGUACUGUUGUAGAUGACAAAUUGAGCAGGGAUAGUUGCUCUCUUUCUUGUUAAGGAGAUUCUGAUUGCAAACGGUCUGAAUGAGUAACGUUGAUAUGUACCAAGACAGCAUUCUAGUUUUGUAAUAUUUCAUUUAUAGUCACUUUUUUGGUCAUUUUUGGAUACCCCUUCUCUUCCUUCUUCAGAGUGGAUGAUUGUGUUGUAAUCUGAUUCCUUUUUCCCCAUGGAUAGAGAAGUGAUGUUUGCACUACUGCUUGUUUCAGGUGAAGAUUCACAGGAAGGUG